rnacentral:rRNA from 1 species
CUGGCUCAGGAUGAACGCUAGCUACAGGCUUAACACAUGCAAGUCGAGGGGCAGCAUAAAGUCAGCUUGCUGAUUUGAUGGCGACCGGCGCACGGGUGAGUAACGCGUAUCCAACCUUCCCUAUAGUAGGGAUAGCCCGGCGAAAGUCGGAUUAAUACCCUAUGUUCUUCAUAGAUGACAUCUGAAAUGAAGCAAAGGUUUACCGCUAUAGGAUGGGGAUGCGUCUGAUUAGCUUGUUGGCGGGGUAACGGCCCACCAAGGCAACGAUCAGUAGGGUUCUGAGAGGAAGGUCCCCCACAUUGGUACUGAGACACGGACCAAACUCCUACGGGAGGCAGCAGUGAGGAAUAUUGGUCAAUGGGCGAGAGCCUGAACCAGCCAAGUAGCCGUGCAGGAUGACUGCCCUAUGGGUUGUAAACUGCUUUUAUAGGGGAAUAAAGUGAGGAACGUGUUCCUUUUUGUAUGUACCCUAUGAAUAAGGACCGGCUAAUUCCGUGCCAGCCGCAGC